rnacentral:rRNA from 1 species
GUCUACGGCCAUACCACCCUGAACGCGUCCGAUCUGGUCUGAUCUCGGCAGCUAAGCAGAAUCAGGCCUGGUUAGUACUUGGAUGUGAGAAAGUGGUGAGGAUGAUGGGACA